CUCCUUAGCAACAGCGACGACGAUGUUGUAUGGUCUGCGAAAUUAUCGCCAGCACCAGGGAGGAUAACGUUGCGUAAGCAACGGCCCGUAGGGCGAGGCGCAGCCGAGUAAUCCUCCCGGAUGCACCA
rnacentral:sRNA from 1 species